UGGGCAGCCAUUUGAAAUGGCCUGAGGUAUCUCCAGAGCAGAGGCCAGCACAUUAAGGUAAUAGAGGAGUGGAAUAAAGCAGACUGCAUCACUGUUUUCUCUAGAAAAGCAGAAAGACUGAGUGGAUGCUGUAGCUGCUGUUUUCCUUUUGCAUUCUGGAGUGGGAUCGCAGUGCAGGGAGAGUCCCCAGGAGUCAAGGAAAGCCUGGCCCAAUGAUUUAUCACAGGCCCCAUGCUGGGACCUCUCAGGAAAUCACAAGAACCUUCUGAUCAUUGGGUUGUCCAGGAGGUAACAGCUACUCCUCUUCUCUUGACUGAAGAAAUGUCUCCCUCUACCUGACAAGUGGCCUCUCUUCCCGAAUGAUACAUAGUGACUUUUGAAGAAAUAAGAAAAUACUUGCUAGCCUGUCAUAUCAGCCGAAACAACUAUGGUGAGCUGGCGAAUAUUGCAAUUACGUGAUUGUUGCUGCAUCAAUAGAAUCCCAAAGCGAUAGUCACUCGUCUUUCUCCUCCUCACUAAUCCAGCAGUCAAAUAAUCACUUAUAAGCAUUUACUGUGCAUUUACCACCAUAUAAUAUAAAAUGUGUCAAGUAGUUAGAUAUAUAAAAUAAUCUCUCAACUCUCAAUAAUUAUAAAAAACUAAGAAAUUAAGAGUUGUGCAUGUGAAAAGACAACUACACAGAGAAGAGGACAACGAACCCAUUCAGAACAUCUCUAAUACGUUAGUCACUGUGUGAGGUGCGGUCCAUGUGUUAUUUUAUCUAAUCCCUUCAACAUCUCUGAGAGGCAUCCUAGCUUCCUUCUAUGGAUGGUGACACUGGGAGUCAGAGAUGCUUAAUAACUUGCCCAAGGUCACAUAGCUAGAAAAGCAUAGACCCUAUUUUCCAGUUUAGAUGUAUCCAAUUCCAUAGGCUAUGCCUCGUUACUAAUCCUCACCUGGCAAUAAGAAAAGUCAGUGCUCAGAGACGUCAUUUAGGUCAAGACAAGACUCUAAAAUGCCUAUGAGAAAAAUACAUUGAUAAAGUUUCUUUAAGUUUCUCAUUUGAUUUGGGAAAUAUUUCUAGCCAGAGGAUAAAUGUCUGGGUUCUGGAAGCCAUGAUGGUAGCAUAGAAGUAGCAGCAUGCUAGUCUCAGUUCAGCUGUUACCCACAUGUGUUCAUCUCAAUGAGUUGCUUCCGUGUUCCAGGCUUCUGUGUCACCAUCUGCAACAGAGAGCAUUUCUGAGUUGCCCAGUGUCACUCACACUCCAACACUGGGCAAGUGUAUGGUAAAGUAGGUCUGACACCAAGCAGACCCAAGUUUGAAUCCUGGCUCCACCCUCAAGCAGUAGGCUGUUGGGCAAAGUCAUCCAACCACUUGUACAAUGGAGAUAAUAAUACCUACCUCAGGGUCAUUGCCCUUACUGCUCAUUCUCCGUGGGACACUCUUCCCAGAUAUCCACAGGGGUCACCCUUUUACCUCCUUCAGGUAAAACUCUACUUACCCUUAGUGAGACUUUCCCUCGAACACAAUAUCUAAACUUGGUAACCACUUGCCAUUUCCUGUUUUUCUUCUGCAUUAUAUUAUUUUCCUUAACACUCAACACCUAACAUGUUAUCCAGUGGACUCAAUUAUCUUAUUUAUUGCCUGUUUCCCACCUCUAGAAUGUAAGCUCUCUAAGGGCAGGGGUUUUUUUGUAUUCUUUACUGCUGUAUCCCCAGUUUCUAGAAUGAUUUAGG
ensembl:lncRNA